CAAUAGCGUAUAUUUAAGUUGUUGCAGUUAAAAAGCUCGUAGUUGGAUUUCGGGUUGGCUUCAGCGGUCUCGCUUUGCGUUUGUACUGCUGCAGCCUACCUUCUUGUCGGGGACGGGCCUUCGGGCUUAAUUGCUUGGGGCCCGGAGUCGACGAUGUUACUUUGAGUAAAUUAGAGUGUUCAAAGCAAGCCUACGCUCUGAAUAUAAUAGCAUGGGAUAACACGACAGGACUCUGGCCUAUCGUGUUGGUCUGUAGGACCAGAGUAAUGAUUAAGAGGGACAGUCGGGGGCAUUCGUAUUCCGUUGUCAGAGGUGAAAUUCUAGGAUUUACGGAAGACGAACAUCUGCGAAAGCAUUUGCCAAGGAUGUUUUCAUUGA
rnacentral:rRNA from 1 species